rnacentral:rRNA from 1 species
GAUGAACGCUGGCGGCGUGCUUAACACAUGCAAGUCGAACGGUGAAGCCCAGCUUGCUGGGUGGAUCAGUGGCGAACGGGUGAGUAACACGUGAGCAACCUGCCCUGAACUCUGGGAUAAGCGCUGGAAACGGCGUCUAAUACUGGAUAUGAGACGUGGCCGCAUGGUCAACGUUUGGAAAGAUUUUUCGGUCUGGGAUGGGCUCGCGGCCUAUCAGCUUGUUGGUGAGGUAAUGGCGCACCAAGGCGUCGACGGGUAGCCGGCCUGAGAGGGUGACCGGCCACACUGGGACUGAGACACGGCCCAGACUCCUACGGGAGGCAGCAGUGGGGAAUAUUGCACAAUGGGCGGAAGCCUGAUGCAGCAACGCCGCGUGAGGGAUGACGGCCUUCGGGUUGUAAACCUCUUUUAGCAAGGAAGAAGCUUUUGUGACGGUACUUGCAGAAAAAGCGCCGGCUAACUACGUGCCAGCCGCCGCCGUAA